CCUGGCUCAGGACUAACGCUGGCGGCGCGCCUAACACAUGCAAGUCGAACGAGUGAGAGAGAGCUUGCUUUCUCGAGCGAGUGGCGAACGGGUGAGUAACGCGUGAGGAACCUGCCUCAGAGAGGGGGACAACAGUUGGAAACGACUGCUAAUACCGCAUAAGCCCACGGUGCCGCAUGGCACAGAGGGAAAAGGAGCAAUCCGCUUUGAGAUGGCCUCGCGUCCGAUUAGCUAGUUGGUGAGGUAACGGCCCACCAAGGCAACGAUCGGUAGCCGGACUGAGAGGUUGAACGGCCACAUUGGGACUGAGACACGGCCCAGACUCCUACGGGAGGCAGCAGUGGGGAAUAUUGCACAAUGGGGGAAACCCUGAUGCAGCGACGCCGCGUGGAGGAAGAAGGUCUUCGGAUUGUAAACUCCUGUUGUUGGGGAAGAUAAUGACGGUACCCAACAAGGAAGUGACGGCUAACUACGUGCCAGCAGCCGCGGUAAAACGUAGGUCACAAGCGUUGUCCGGAAUUACUGGGUGUAAAGGGAGCGCAGGCGGGAAGACAAGUUGGAAGUGAAAUCUAUGGGCUCAACCCAUAAACUGCUUUCAAAACUGUUUUUCUUGAGUAGUGCAGAGGUAGGCGGAAUUCCCGGUGUAGCGGUGGAAUGCGUAGAUAUCGGGAGGAACACCAGUGCUGAACGCGGCCUACUGGGCACCAACUGACGCUGAGGCUCGAAAGUGUGGGUAGCAAACAGGAUUAGAUACCCUGGUAGUCCACACCGUAAACGAUGAUUACUAGGUGUUGGAGGAUUGACCCCUUCAGUGCCGCAGUUAACACAAUAAGUAAUCCACCUGGGGAGUACGACCGCAAGGUUGAAACUCAAAGGAAUUGACGGGGGCCCGCACAAGCAGUGGAGUAUGUGGUUUAAUUCGACGCAACGCGAAGAACCUUACCAAGUCUUGGCAUCCCUUGACAGGCAUAGAAAUAUGUUUUCUCUUCGGAGCAAGGAGACAGGUGGUGCAUGGUUGUCGUCAGCUCGUGUCGUGAGAUGUUGGGUUAAGUCCCGCAACGAGCGCAACCCUUAUGGUCAGUUACUACGCAAGAGGACUCUGGCCAGACUGCCGUUGACAAAACGGAGGAAGGUGGGGAUGACGUCAAAUCAUCAUGCCCUUUAUGACUUGGGCUACACACGUACUACAAUGGCGUUAAACAAAGAGAAGCAAGACCGCGAGGUGGAGCAAAACUCAGAAACAACGUCCCAGUUCGGACUGCAGGCUGCAACUCGCCUGCACGAAGUCGGAAUUGCUAGUAAUCGUGGAUCAGCAUGCCACGGUGAAUACGUUCCCGGGCCUUGUACACACCGCC
rnacentral:rRNA from 1 species